GAUGGUUCUCGGGUAAUGCACUCCGGAAUUGGGCUCCCUCCCCUCUGGUUCCAGGUGUGUCACCCGCAAACUGCA
rfam:Myotis davidii contig321749, whole genome shotgun sequence.